CAACAACGAAGAGUUUGAUCCUGGCUCAGGAUGAACGCUAGCGACAGGCUUAACACAUGCAAGUCGAGGGGCAGCGGGAUUGAAGCUUGCUUCAAUUGCCGGCGACCGGCGCACGGGUGAGUAACACGUAUGCAACCUGCCCGUCACAGGGGAAUAACCGGAAGAAAUUCCGACUAAUUCCGCGUAACACCUUUGUAAGGCAUCUUAUAGAGGUCAAAGGAGCAAUCCGGUGGCGGAUGGGCAUGCGGCGCAUUAGCUAGUCGGCGGGGUAACGGCCCACCGAGGCGACGAUGCGUAGGGGUUCUGAGAGGAAGGUCCCCCACACUGGUACUGAGACA
rnacentral:rRNA from 1 species